ACGGGAGGCAGCAGUGGGGAAUAUUGGGCAAUGGGCGAAAGCCUGACCCAGCAACGCCGCGUGAGUGAAGAAGGUUUUCGGAUUGUAAAGCUCUAUCCUCGGGGACGAAGGAAGUGACGGUACCCGAGAAGGAAGCCCCGGCUAACUACGUGCCAGCAGCCGCGGUAAUACGUAGGGGGCAAGCGUUAUCCGGAUUUACUGGGUGUAAAGGGAGCGUAGACGGCGAUGCAAGUCUGAAGUGAAAGCCCGGGGCUCAACCCCGGGACUGCUUUGGAAACUGUGUUGCUAGAGUGCAGGAGGGGUAAGCGGAAUUCCUAGUGUAGCGGUGAAAUGCGUAGAUAUUAGGAGGAACACCGGUGGCGAAGGCGGCUUACUGGACUGUAACUGACGUUGAGGCUCGAAAGCGUGGGGAGCAAACAGGAUUAGAUACCCUGGUA
rnacentral:rRNA from 1 species